rnacentral:tRNA from 1 species
CCUCUGGCGGUCCAAUGGUUAGAACUUGGUGCUUUUACUGCCAGAGCCCAGGUUCAAUCCCUGGUUGGAGAA